GUUGUAUGGUUAAGAGACAAAGCGUACAAGGUGGAUGCCUUGGCAAUCAGAGGCGAAGAAGGACGUGCUAAUCUGCGAAAAGCUCGGAUGAGUCGAUAAGAGGCGUUUAAUCCGAGAUAUCCGAAUGGGGAAACCCGGUGGGUGAAGAACCCACUAUCAUUAUCUGCAUCCAUAGGGUAAUGAGGCGAACCGGGGGAACUGAAACAUCUAAGUACCCCGAGGAAAAGAAAUCAACCGAGAUUUUGUGAGUAGCGGCGAGCGAAAGCGAAAGAGCCUGUUAGUGAUAGCGACAGAGACAGAGGAAUGUGCUGGGAAGCACAGCGAGACAGGGUGAUAGCCCCGUACUCGAAGUCUGGGUCGUGGUACUAAGCUAACGAGAAGUAGGGCGGGACACGUGAUAUCCUGUUUGAAGAAGGGGGGCCCAUCCUCCAAGGCUAAAUACUCCUGAUUGACCGAUAGUGAAGCAGUACUGUGAAGGAAAGGCGAAAAGAACCGGGGUGACCGGAGUGAAAUAGAACCUGAAACCUUGUACGUACAAGCAGGGGGAGCCUGAAAGGGUGACUGCGUACCUUUUGUAUAAUGGGUCAGCGAGUUAUAUUUUGUAGCGAGGUUAACCGGAUAGGGGAGCCGAAGGGAAACCGAGUCUUAACUGGGCGCUUAGUUGCAAGGUAUAGACCCGAAACCCGGUGAUCUAGCCAUGGGCAGGUUGAAGGUUGGGUAACACUAACUGGAGGACCGAACCGACUAAUGUUGAAAAAUUAGCGGAUGACGUGUGGCGGGGGGUGAAAGGCCAAUCAAACCGGGAGAUAGCUGGUUCUCCCCGAACUCUAUUUAGGUAGAGCCUUGCGCGGACACCUUUGGGGGUAGAGCACUGUUUCGGCUAGGGGGCCAUCCCGGCUUACCAACCCGAUGCAAACUACGAAUACCGACGAGUGAUACUCAGGAGACACACGGCGGGUGCUAACGUCCGUCGUGG
rnacentral:rRNA from 1 species